GUCUGUGGCCAUACCACCCUGAACAAGCCCAAUCCCGUCUGAUCUCAGAAGUUAAGCAGGGUGGGGCCUGGUUAGUACUUGGGUGGGAGAUCACCUAGGAAGACCAAGUGCUGUAGGCA
rnacentral:rRNA from 1 species